rnacentral:tRNA from 1 species
GUCGUUGUAGUAUAGUGGUGAGUAUUCCUGCCUAUCAUGCAGGUGACCCGGGUUCGAUCCCUGGCAAUGGUG